rnacentral:tRNA from 1 species
GGUUGUAGUGGUGGCUAUAGCUCAGUGGUAGAGCCCUGGAUUGUGAUUCCAGUUGUCGUGGGUUCGAAUCCCAUUAGCCACCCCA